GCCAGUAUCGCAUAGCGGCAAUUGCGGGAGACUGUAAAUCUCUUCCUUCGGGUUCCUGGGUUCGAGUCCCAGUGCUGGCAC
rnacentral:tRNA from 1 species